rnacentral:rRNA from 1 species
GCAUAUCAAUAAGCGGAGGAAAAGAAACCAACAGGGAUGCCUCAGUAACGGCGAGUGAAGCGGCAACAGCUCAAAUUUGAAAUCUGGCCUCUUUGGGGUCCGAGUUGUAAUUUGUAGAGGAUGUUUCGGGCACCGCUCCGGUUUAAAUUUCUUGGAACAGAAUGUCAAAGAGGGUGAGAACCCCGUCUUGGACCGGCAGUAGGGCCCAUGUGAAACUCCUUCGACGAGUCGAGUUGUUUGGGAAUGCAGCUCAAAAUGGGUGGUAAAUUUCAUCUAAAGCUAAAUAUUGGCCAGAGACCGAUAGCGCACAAGUAGAGUGAUCGAAAGAUGAAAAGCACUUUGAAAAGAGAGUUAAACAGUACGUGAAAUUGUUGAAAGGGAAGCGCUUGCAACCAGACUUGCGCGCGGCGGUUCCCCCUUCCUUUUGGUUGGGUUAUUCCGCCGUGUCCAGGCCAACAUCGGUUCUGGGGGUCGGUUAAAGGCCUGGGGAAUGUAUCUACCCUUCGGGCGUAGACUUAUAGCCCCGGGUGUCAUGCGACCUCCCGGGACCGAGGAACGCGCUUCGGCUCGGAUGUUGGCGUAAUGGUUGUCAGCGACCCGUCUUGAAACACGGACCAAGGAGUCUAACAUCUAUGCGAGUGUUUGGGUGUCAAACCCGGAACGCGGAAUGAAAGUGAACGGAGGUAGGAAGCUUCGGCUGCACUAUCGACCGAUCCUGAUGUCUUCGGAUGGAUUUGAGUAAGAGCAUAGCUGUUGGGACCCGAAAGAUGGUGAACUAUGCCUGAAUAGGGUGAAGCCAGAGGAAACUCUGGUGGAGGCUCGCAGCGGUUCUGACGUGCAAAUCGAUCGUCAAAUUUGGGUAUAGGGGCGAAAGACUAAUCGAACCAUCUGGUAGCUGGUUCCUGCCGAA